rnacentral:rRNA from 1 species
ACAUACGACCAUAGGGUGUGGAAAACAGGGCUUCCCGUCCGCUCAGCCGUACUUAAGCCAUAAUAACUUCGUAUAGCAUACAUUAUACGAAGUUAUACUUAGUAGUUGGGUGGGUGACCACCAGCGAAUCCUCACUGUUGUAUGUU